GAUGAAGAACGUAGCGAAAUGCGAUAAGUAAUGUGAAUUCCAGAAUUCAGUGAAUCAUCGAAUCUUUGAACGCACAUUGCGCCCGCUAGUAUUCUGGCGGGCAUGCCUGUUCGAGCGUCAUUUCAACCAUCAAGCCCCAGGCUUGUGUUGGGGGCCUGCGGCUGCCGCAGCCCCUGAAAAGCAGUGGCGGGCUCGCUGUCAUUCCGAGCGCAGUAGUUACAUCUCGCUCCGGGCGUGGCGGUGGGCACCUGCCGUGAAACACUCCUUCUAAGGUUGACCUCGGAUCAGGUAGGAAUACCCGCUGAACUUAAGCAUAUCAAUAAGCGGAGGA
rnacentral:misc_RNA from 1 species